ACAGCGUUUCAGGUGAAGUGGGACCGAGCGGGCAUCCCGUGGGUGCAGGGACCCGGAGGACGCUGCCGCCCAGGAAGCACACGGCCUGCAACGUGAACCGGCCCGACUUCUCCGAUUCAAAGGGAUCGAACCCGUAACCUUGGUAUAUGGGGACAACGGUCUAACCAACGGAACUACCCAGCCAUGGCUGGCUCUGUCCUUCUAAGGCUGAGGGGCUGCGUGGUGAUGUCACCACUGGCCAUUGAAUCAACCACCAUUGAUGUCCGAGGCCGGCUGUAUUCUUCAAGAGAGGUCUUCUCUCCGUUGGGUUUUUACAUGCUUUAUGUUAUCUAUAGAGGUCAUUUUCCUUCUUCUUUUAGAAAUUCUAUCAGGCACAUCUAGCCUUGACGUCAGCCCCAAUUUCAAUGAGUGAAACUGAAGGAGGCAUUUCUUUGAAAUGCACACAUGUGCUCUUUUACAAGUAAUCUCACUUCCCUUCCCUCUUUUCUCAUUAGCCUAACCAAUGCCCUCUCUCCACGGCUCACUUCGCUCUAGCCACAACUGUCCCCUCCACGCCAAAUCUGUUCCUGCCUCGUGUCCUCUGCACUUGCUGUUCCCUUGCCCCUGAAUGUUUUCUGUAUCAGCUGUUGAAUAAACUUUUCUGUGAUGAUGAAAAUAUUCUGUAUCUGUGCUGUCCAAUAUCGCAGCCACUAACCAUAUGCUGGCUGCUAUUUGAAAUGUGCUUAGUGUGACUGAGGGACUGAUUUUAAAAUGUUACUUCACCAUUCAGGCCUCAGCUCAAAUGCUGUCUCCUCCAAGAGCCCACUCCUGAUGGCCUCACCUAAGCAGGCUCCUCAGCCCACACCCCCCUCUGCCCUUCUCUGCACUGACCACCUGGAAUAGCUGUGCCUGUGUUUGCGUCACAUCAUUUCCCUCCUCUAGAAUGUAAGGUCCCUGAGGACAGACACCUCAUCUCUCUUAUUCCCUGCUGUCUCCAAGCACCCAGAACUGUGACUGGCAAAGGCAAAUAGCCAGUGAAUGAAUGAAUGAAUCAGUUCGCCUGGCCAAGGUGCUUCCUUGAUGGGAUGAGAAAAAAAAAAGAGGGAAAUCCAUGCAUCUUAGCAAAAGAAUUGUGAAAUGCUUUUAUCAGAACUCUGACCCAUG